rnacentral:rRNA from 1 species
AUUGAACGCUGGCGGCAGGCCUAACACAUGCAAGUCGAGCGGAUGACGGGAGCUUGCUCCUUGAUUCAGCGGCGGACGGGUGAGUAAUGCCUAGGAAUCUGCCUGGUAGUGGGGGACAACGUUUCGAAAGGAACGCUAAUACCGCAUACGUCCUACGGGAGAAAGCAGGGGACCUUCGGGCCUUGCGCUAUCAGAUGAGCCUAGGUCGGAUUAGCUAGUUGGUGGGGUAAUGGCUCACCAAGGCGACGAUCCGUAACUGGUCUGAGAGGAUGAUCAGUGACACUGGAACUGAGACACGGUCCAGCCUCCUACGGGAGGCAGCAGUGGGGAAUAUUGGACAAUGGGCGAAAGCCUGAUCCAGCCAUGCCGCGUGUGUGAAGAAGGUCUUCGGAUUGUAAAGCACUUUAAGUUGGGAGGAAGGGCAGUAAGUUAAUACCUUGCUGUUUUGACGUUACCGACAGAAUAAGCACCGGCUAACUCUGUGCCAGCCGCCGCAGUAACAC